rnacentral:tRNA from 1 species
GUCUGCCUGGCUCAGUCAGUAGAGUGAGUGACUCUUAAUCUCUGGGUCAUGAAUUCAAGCCUCAUGUUGGGCA